CUGGACCCUCAGGACUUUGAAAAAUUUGCUUUCACUGUUCCAACCCUUAACAACAUCGCUCCUGCAGCACGUUACCGUUGGAAAGUCCUACCUCAAGGAAAAGGACUACAGCCGGUGUGGGUCCCCUCCCGACAAUUAAAACUGCACCAUAACUCCAAAGAUGAAAUGCUCCCAGAAGCAAAAGGACUGCCAGACUUCCCAAAGAAACCUACAAAGGGACCUUUUAUAGUGACUUCAGUUUUGUGGAAUAAUUGUAAUGCUCCCAAGGCCGUUGUGCUCCAAAGUCUAGCCACAGUCUGCAGAUGCCUCCAAGGAGUCCGAAACCAAGUCUGAAGUCAACAACAAGCAAUGAUGGCGAUGGCAGUCCUAGUUAAUAAAAAGGGGGGAGAUGUGGGCGGCAAGCCACCCAGGUGCCGAGGCAAGAGACUGAGGACAAGAGCUGUUCCAGUAUAAUAAAAUAUAAAACAAGAAUAGUUAUACCAGAUAUAGAUCUUAGAUAUGAUUAUAUAUGAAUAUCAUUAAACAUUAGUUUGUAGCAAUUACUCUUUAUUCCAAUAUUAUAAUGAUCCUCGCUCUAUAAUCAUAACCUAGGAAAAACCAAGCCAUACAGAGAUAGGAGCUGAGGGGACAUAGUGAGGAGUGACCAGAAGACAAGAGUGCGAGCCUUCUGUUAUGCCCAGACAGUGCCACCAGAGGGCUCCUUGGUCUAGCGGUAAUGCCAUCGUCUGGGAAGAUGCCCGUUGCCAGGUGGACUGUGGUCUAGCGGUAGCCUCAGUGUCAAGGAAAAACACCGGCUAAUUAGCAGACCGGGAAUGGGAGUCUCCCUUUCCCUGGGGCGCGGUGGUUUAGAGAAGACUCUACUCCUCCACCUCUUGUGGAGGGCCUGACAUUAGUCAGGCUUGCCUGCAGUUAUCCGGAGGCCUAACCAACUCCCUGUGAUGCUGUGCUUCAGUGGUCACACUCCUAGUCCACCUUCAUGUUCCAUCCUGUACACGUGGCUCUGCCUUCUAGAUAGCAGUAGCAAAAUUAGUGAAAGUACUGAAAGUCUCUAAUAAGCAGAAAUAAUGGCGUAAGCUGUUUCUCUGUCUCCUCUCUCUCUCUGCCUCGGCUGCCAGGCAGGGAAGGGCCCCCUGUCCAGUGGACACAUGACCCACGUGGCCUUACCUAUGAUUGGAGAUGGCUCACUCUUCUUAUCCUGCCCCUUUGUCUUGUAUCCAAUAAAUAUCAGUACAGCCUGGCAUUUGGGGCCA